rnacentral:lncRNA from 1 species
AAUAAAGUUAGUACGACCCGGUUAAUAUAGUAAUACCCUCUAAUUACAAGCUCGUUUUAAUUUAUAAAAUAUUGAAUUAGUAAAAUUAAAGUUGUAACAAAUAUGGUUAUUCCGUAAAUAAAAAAAAAAAAAAUAUGGUUAUAUGUCUCAUCAAAAUUCGAAUUUACAGAGUAACUAUUAUUAAUACAUAGUAUACAUGUUCGCCUAUUAUUCAUUCACAUCUCA